rnacentral:rRNA from 1 species
GCCAGCUAGCGGCGAGCGCCGGCGGGAAUCGUGGGGGGGGUGUGGUGGUCCGGAGUCAUUGGUGGUGAAGCGCGUGUGGGCGGCCAGGUAGGUCCGUUGUGAACACGCGAGGCGUAGCCUAGGGGCGCCGACGGAAACCAUCUGGCUAGGGUGCGGAAGAGGGGAGGGGAAUUCCCGGUGUAGCGGUGAAAUGCGGAGAUAUCGGGAAGAACACCCGUGGCGAAGGCGGCUCUCUGGGACGGUACCGACGCUGAGACGCGAAAGCGUGGGGAGCGAACAGGAUUAGAUACCCGGUUAGUC